rnacentral:misc_RNA from 1 species
GUCAUAAAUUUUGACAGGUGGUACCAAAACAAUUUAGAUAAUUUUGCCAUUUGCGAAAUUUAUUAAUAUUAUUUUAUAAAAAUGGACGUAUUUAACAAAGUAAUUAAUCAAGUCAGUAGUUCUGUUCAUAGUACGGUAUCCCAGUUAUCAGGUGUUCUACCAGGUAAUCCAGUAACUAGAGAAUUUGAGUCUUCUGCACAUAUUGCCUCUGCAGGUCCAGGGUUGCUUUGGAAAAUUUAUAAAGGAAAUAAACGAUCUACUAGACAAGAAGCUUCAAUAUUUGUAUUUGAAAAGCGCCAGCUAGAUAGAUACAGUAAAACAGACAGGGAGUUAAUUUUAGAAGUACUGCGAAGAGGAGUAGUACAGUUAACAAAGAUACGCCAUCCGAAAAUUCUGACUGUUCAACAUCCUCUAGAAGAAAGCAGAGACAGUUUAGCUUUUGCUGCUGAACCAGUGUUUGCUAGUCUAGCAAAUGUCCUGGGACAAACAACCAACAUGCCUCAACCAGCAAAUAUGUCAGACUAUAAAUUAUUCGAUAUAGAAAUUAAGUAUGGAAUACUGCAAUUAGCUGAAGGUUUAGCAUUUUUACAUAACGAUGUUAAACUUCUUCACAAGAAUAUCAGUCCAGAAAGUGUAAUAAUUAAUACGCAAGGGGCGUGGAAGGUUUUUGGCUUUGAUUUUUGCGUGAUUAAUACCAAUCCUGCUAAUAUGCCGCCUAGUUAUGUAUUUGAAGAAUACAGUGCUACUGUACCACCAGUUUGCCAACCAAAUUUGGACUACCUAGCUCCUGAACAUGUAUUGUCUUUGGUACAAUCCCAAGCUAGUGAUAUGUUUUCUCUAGGAAUGUUAAUCUAUACGUUAUACUCCCCAGAUAGGAAAUGCUAUAAACCAGUGAGGGAUCUUCAGCAAUUCAGAGCAAGAGCCCAAGACUUAAAGAAAUUUACCACAGGAAAGAUUCAGUUUGUUCCAGAAGAACUCAGGGAGUUCAUCAAAUUGCUAUUAAAUGGUACUCCAGAAGUGAGGCCAGAUGCUCAUCAGUUUGUUAAGAUCCCGUUUUUUGAUGACAUUGGCAUAAAAACUCUUACAUACCUAGACUCCGUCCUCCAAUGGGACAAUCUUCAAAAAUCGCAAUUUUAUAAAGGACUACCAGAGGCUUUGACCAAACUACCCCACAGAGUGAAGCUUCAAAGGGUGGUAGCUUGUCUAGCCCAUGAUCUAGGUCAGCCUGCAAUGGUGCCUUUUAUUUUACCCAGUUUACUAGAAAUUGCCCAAGGCUGUACUCAAAAGGAAUUUUGUAGUUACAUUUUGCCACUGAUUAAGCCUCUUAUGACUCUUUUGGAACCUGUUCAGGUAUUGUUAAUAAUGCUGCAACAUAUGGAACUACUACUAAAACUUACUCCUGCAGAGGAUAUCCAGCGACAUGUACUACCAAUGCUCUACAGAGGUCUCGACUCUGAUACUCCUCAAAUUCAUGAACUUUGUCUAUCAGUUCUACCAACAUUUGCUGGUCUUUUAGACCACUCAAAUGUCAAGAACAGUCUUUUACCUCGCAUCAAGAAACUUUGCCUUAAUACUUCUACUCUCUCUGUUAGAGUGAAUUGUUUACUUUGUGUUGGUAGGUUAUUGGAACACCUUGAUAAAUGGUUAGUGCUUGAUGAGGUAUUACCUUUUUUGCCGCAGAUACCUUCAAGAGAACCAGCUGUUUUAAUGGGAAUUUUGGGUAUUUAUAAGCUUGCCUUAACUCACAAAAAAUUAGGUAUUACUAAAGAAAUAAUAGCGUCUAGGGUACUACCAUUCCUGAUCCCUCUAUGUAUAGAAAACGGACUAACAAUUCCCCAGUUCAAUGCUUUGACUGCUCUGGUCAAAGAUAUGUUCCAGAUAGUAGAGACUGAACACAGAACGAAAUUAGAACAGCUUAAUUCAGUCAAAGAUGAACAGAAAACAUUGGCAAGCACUACACCAAUUGUAAUGCCAAAGUCCAAGCCUAUAGAAUUAGAUUCUGCAUUCUCUGGAUUGGGUCUAGAUAACUAUGUGCCUGGUAUGAGUCUUAAGCAAAAGCAACAAUUGGCGCAACAACAAGAUUCGUUGAAAGUGUUUAGCAGUCAGCCUAGUAUAGAACCUAAAAAGGUGGAUAAUGCUCCUAAGAGUGUCCCUAAAGAUUUAUCUUCGUCUUUGCUUGACGAUUGGGUCAGUAGCACUGCAACAAGUUCUAAAAAUCAAUCUUUUAAUGCUUCGAAUACACAGAAUCUGAGUUCAACUGACCAAACUUCGAAGAACAGUCCCUCUAAUACAUCUACAUUUGUGGGAAACACUGGAUUUAAUCAAACGGCGCUUAUGUCUUCAAAUUCUAACACACAAUGGCAAAUGGGCAAACAAAACAACUCGACGCCAAAUUAUUCCCCUUUUACUACACAAAAUCAAAAUUUCAUGAACAACAAUUUAAGUACAGCAGGUUCCAAUCCAUGGUCAAGUUCUCAUAACGCAAUAACUUACAAUAAACCCCAAAAUGACACUUCUCAAAACUGGAGCGCUUUCGAUAAUCUGCUCCCUGGCACCAACUCUAAUAUUAACACAGGUAAAGUACCCAUGAAUAAAAUGAUGUCUCAUAAUGUACCCUUGCUGCCAAGUUCAAAUACAAACAGUGGAGCAAAGUCAGGCGGUUUGUCCAAUGACGAUAUUAUGGAUCUUUUAAGUUAAAAUAAAUGUUUUUUUGUAGGUGCAUAUGUAUACAUAAUUUUCGUUUAAGCCCCUUGCAUGUUUUCAAUGACAUUUCUAUGUCGUCGCAGUAUAACCAACUGCUUAAAAAUUCAUAACAUUCAUUUUGGAAUUAUUAUAUGACAUAAAUAUAAUAUUUACAAACAUGUUUAAAUUUAGAAUUCAAAAAACAAUAAUUUAAAUCAAGUAUCAUUUAAAAACAGUAUACUAAUUAAUCUUUAAUUUAUGAAGUGUAAAUGAUUGUUAGUCGUCUUCUUUUCAGAGUUGCCAAAUCUAUAACAUGAACUGGCUCAUACUUUUAAGUCAUAUCUUUCAAGUCUGUCAUAUCCUAUAGAAUACAAAUGAUAUAGAGAUGUAUAGGACUUUUCAGCUCUUCUCAUUUGUUUCGAGCUUCUGUCAUAUGUCGUAUAAUCCUUGUAUAAUAAUAAAUAUAACAUAAUAUAACAGAAGCUCGAAACAAAUGAGAAGCGUUGAAAAGUCCUAUUAAUUGAAAGUGGUAUCUUCAAUUUAUCAAUGAAUUUGUCAUAUAAUUGUACGUUGUCAGUAGCAGUUAUGUCAAUAUUGGAUGAUGAGCCAUCCGCUGUGAGCUCGUACGUAGAGGGGAUAUUUACAAAUUCUCGAGCGCCAGUAGUGGCAAGUCUGUAAACGUUUACCGGAAAUUUGACAUAAAUGUCAAAGUGAUUAAUGUAAAAUUAAAAUUAAAAACAUUAAUUAUAAAAAAUAUUAGUUGGUCAAAGCUGUGGUAUAUAUUUUUACCUUAAAUAUACUUACGUUUUAAAUACUGAAUUUAAGUUUUUUUAAUGUUCCGUAAUAUGUAAUUAUAAUUUAAUCUAAAAAUCUUAGCGCCAUCUACACGAUAAUUGUGAAAGUAUCCGAAGUAAGAAAUUCAUAUUUUAUCAAUAGAACGUCAAAAUGAUUAGCAAAAUCUUAAAAAAAUCGAUUACAAUUUAAUUAAUUUUUUGCGUUGUAAAUGUUAAGCGAUAACAAUUAAAUAAUAAAUUUAAAAAUUACCGGUGAAAGAUAAUUCCAGUAAUCCGCUAGGAGCGCCACCAGCGAAGCUCAGAGCGUAUAGACAUAUUAAGGAUAGACAAGGCAUACUGAACAAAAAAGCGUAACGCGCGGGCAGUCGGUCGUUGGUCUGUCUAUCUCUUUUUACAAAGCGAUCCCAAGCAUGUGACAGACAAAGAUGGCUAGACCACUCAAAGUGAAUUGAUAUUGAUAUUGAUAUGACAUUGAUAUUGGCGUUACACCUUGAUGCACAGAGCGGCCAUACCUUGCCUGGUCUACCCUUUAUUAUGUCUAUGUGAUGAGCAAGGGGUUUAUUUGGAAAUAAUUUAUGUAACAUAGAGUUAUAUAUUAGCAUGGAGAGAGUGUCAUUCAGAGCGAAGUGACGACACCAUCUUUUUUAUUUGGAUUAGUACUGUUUCACUCUUACGCAUAGUAAAGCUGCGACAGUUGUCCUCUCCUUCCGUACCUAUACUCACACUUAAUGUCAUCUUAGUUUCUCGAUACAAUGUGUUAGAAAGAGAUGCCGCAAACCAGUCCAUGAGAUCUUGUCGUCAGGAAGCGCGGAAGGUAGGCUCACUCUAUGUUAAUAUAUACCUCAAUGUUAUGUAAUAGGGCUUUUCAUUCACAGUCAUUUGUUUCGAGCUUCUGUCAUGUGUCACAUAAUAUUAAUAUAUCUACGUCAUACGUUAUUGAUAUAACCAUAGAGUUAUAUAUUAGCAUAGAGAGAGUGUCAUUCAGAGCGAAGUGACGACACCAUCUUUUUUAUUUGGAUUAGUGCUUUUUCACUCUUACGCUUAGUAAAGCUGCUACAGUUGUCCUCCCCUUCCGUGCCUAUAUUCACACUGAAUGUCAUCAUAGAUUUUCGAUACAAUGUGUUAGAAAGAGAUGCCGCAAACCAGUCCAUGAGAUCUUGUCGUCAGGAAGCGCGGAAGGGCGAUUUUCGAUAAUGAAGAACAUGAUGAAUUUAAAAAGAAAUUAAA